rnacentral:rRNA from 1 species
UACGUAGGGUCCAAGCGUUAUCCGGAAUCACUGGGCGUAAAGCGUGCGUAGGUGGAUUGUUAAGUGUAGUGCGAAAUCCUGUGGCUCAACCAUAUGGACUGUACUGCAUACUGGCAAUCUAGAGGACAUGAGAGGCAAGUGGAAUUACCGGUGUAGCAGUGAAAUGCGUAGAGAUCGGUAGGAACACCAAUGGCGAAAGCACUCUGCUGGGCCGACACUGACACUGAGAGACGAAAGCUAGGGGGAGCAAACAGG